rnacentral:rRNA from 1 species
GAUAAACGCUGGCGGCGUGCUUAACACAUGCAAGUCGAACGAAGUUUUUCCUUCGGGAGAAACUUAGUGGCGGACGGGUGAGUAACGCGUGGGUAACCUGCCCUGUACAGGGGGACAACAGCCGGAAACGGCUGCUAAUACCGCAUAAGCACUUAGCACUGCAUGGUGCAUAGGGAAAAGGAGCAAUCCGGUACAGGAUGGACCCGCGUCUGAUUAGCCAGUUGGCAGGGUAACGGCCUACCAAAGCGACGAUCAGUAGCCGAACUGAGAGGAUGUACGGCCACAUUGGGACUGAGACACGGCCCAGACUCCUACGGGAGGCAGCAGUGGGGAAUAUUGCACAAUGGAGGAAACUCUGAUGCAGCGACGCCGCGUGAGUGAAGAAGUAUUUCGGUAUGUAAAGCUCUAUCAGCAGGGAAGAAAAUGACGGUACCUGACGAAGAAGCACCGGCUAAAUACGUG